rnacentral:lncRNA from 1 species
GGAUAUGGAUAUCAAGCAGCUGAAGGCAGAGACACAUCCCUGCUCAAGGACAGUGAGCGCAUCCAGUCCACACAGACUGUUACCUCUGACGACGAAGACAGUGACAUCAAGAAAAUUAAGAAGAUCUGCACCAUUCCUCUGGGCUGGCACAAAUGUCCCUUCCCAGCCCUCUUGAGAGAGCCUCCUACGACAGCCCAGUGUUGGCAGUGUCUACCUCCUGUCCCACGGCCGCCAGGGCAUGCUACCUCCCACCUCAGCUCCAAAGACAGAACUGACAGCUUAUUACUCCUGAACAGCACCUUGUCAAGGCAUUUCUUCUGGUUGUCCUUGUGCAGUAGGGGGUUCAGCCGCAUUGUAUAGAUGAGAAAAAUGAGACUCCAGGAGAGGAGGCAGUCGACAGAGGCAGGACGAGAACCCAGGCCAUGAGACUCGCAGCUGAGAGCUCUCCUCAACGCCAGGCAGCCUCACUUGCCAGACUUGAAGCAGGGGAGCCUGACUCGCCCCAAGAAAACCAGGGAAAACUGCUUGUUUCCUACUCGUUGCGAGGGCAAGAGAACCGCAGUGCCAUUCAAACCAGAAAGUGCAGACUGGCGCCCACAGGCAAGUUCAGCCUACCCGUGUGUUCAGGAUUUUUAGCCUACACGAUGUUUUGGUUUUUUUCUUUUUUAAUUUGUUGCCAGUGCUUUAAAAGCUAAAUAUUUCAUAUAAAUCUGGAUUUCUGAUUUCUUAAAAAUAGAAAUAGCUAACAUUCAUUAUGCAUGUUCUUUGUGCCAGAUACUAUUCUAGGAGCUUCAUGCAGAUUAAUUUGUUCCUAACUAAAAAUCCUCUGAGGUUUCGUUAUUAUCUGCAUUUCACAUAUGAGGAAGCUGAGGUGCGGAGAGGCAAAGUGACUUACCCAGAUCACACAGCUAAGUAUUUGCAGAGUGACAUUUAAACCCUGGCCGCCAAGCUCAGAGCCCACAUCCUUGGUCACUGGGACACACUGCCUUCUGGAAGAGCAGGAGGUCCUGCAGCCCUGGGCCCACCUCCUACACGUGGUGACAGUUGGCAAGGAGGUGUUGCCCCAUUAGUCCCCACCCAUCUGGUUUCAUGCAUCUCUAGGACCUGCCAGGCCCCCAUAGGCACUAGGAUUUGCCACCAGAUCUGAACCAAGCCCCCCAGGCAGGAGUGCCCUGGCUUACCUUCUCUGCUAUGGUCCCACUGGACUUCCCGGUCCAUUUUGAGAAGGCAUUCUGGUUGGAACAUUUUGUUGAGUACCAGCUGAAACCCCUGAGAUCCACCUCCUUCCCUCCAUUUUCACCCUCGUGGAGCCUCAGAGGAAGCCCUUUUCUCAUCAAGAAAGACUUCCUAUCUUCAAAGAGAGCAGUUGGGGCUC